rnacentral:rRNA from 1 species
UACGUAGGGUGCGAGCGUUAAUCGGAAUUAUUGGGCGUAAAGAGCUCGUAGGCGGUGUGUCGCGUCGGCCGUGAAAACCUGCAGCUUAACUGUGGGCUUGCGGUCGAUACGGGCAUCACUGGAGUUCGGCAGGGGAGACUGGAAUUCCUGGUGUAGCGGUGAAAUGCGCAGAUAUCAGGAGGAACACCGAUGGCGAAGGCAGGUCUCUGGGCAGUAACUGACGCUGAGGAGCGAAAGCGUGGGGAGCGAACAGG